GACGAACGCUGGCGGCGCGCCUAACACAUGCAAGUCGAACGAGCGAGAGAGAGCUUGCUUUCUCGAGCGAGUGGCGAACGGGUGAGUAACGCGUGAGGAACCUGCCUCAAAGAGGGGGACAACAGUUGGAAACGACUGCUAAUACCGCAUAAGCCCACAGGUCUGCAUCGACCAGAGGGAAAAGGAGCAAUCCGCUUUGAGAUGGCCUCGCGUCCGAUUAGCUAGUUGGUGAGGUAACGGCCCACCAAGGCGACGAUCGGUAGCCGGACUGAGAGGUUGAACGGCCACAUUGGGACUGAGACACGGCCCAG
rnacentral:rRNA from 1 species